rnacentral:rRNA from 1 species
UGGGGAAUAUUGCACAAUGGGCGCAAGCCUGAUGCAGCCAUGCCGCGUGUGUGAAGAAGGCCUUCGGGUUGUAAAGCACUUUCAGCGGGGAGGAAGGCGUUAAGGUUAAUAACCUUGGCGAUUGACGUUACCCGCAGAAGAAGCACCGGCUAACUCCGUGCCAGCAGCCGCGGUAAUACGGAGGGUGCAAGCGUUAAUCGGAAUUACUGGGCGUAAAGCGCACGCAGGCGGUCUGUCAAGUCGGAUGUGAAAUCCCCGGGCUCAACCUGGGAACUGCAUGCGAAACUGGCAGGCUAGAGGCUUGUAGAGGGGGGGAGAAUUCCAGGUGUAGCGGUGAAAUGCGUAGAGAUCUGGAGGAAUACCGGUGGCGAAGGCGGCCCCCUGGGCAAAGACUGACGCUCAGGUGCGAAAGCGUGGGGAGCAAACAGG